GACGAACGCUGGCGGCGUGCUUAACACAUGCAAGUCGAACGGAAAGGCCCUGCUUGCAGGGUACUCGAGUGGCGAACGGGUGAGUAACACGUGGGUGAUCUGCCCUUCACUUCGGGAUAAGCCUGGGAAACUGGGUCUAAUACCGGAUAGGAGCCAUUUUUAGUGUGAUGGUUGGAAAGUUUUUUCGGUGUAGGAUGAGCUCGCGGCCUAUCAGCUUGUUGGUGGAGUAAUGGCCUACCAAGGCGGCGACGGGUAGCCGACCUGAGAGGGUGGACGGCCACAUUGGGACUGAGAGACGGCCCAGAAGCCUACGGUAGGCAGUAGAGGGAAAUAUUGCACAAUGGGCGCAAGCCUGAUACAGCGACGCCGCGUGGGGGAUGACGGCCUUCGGGUUGUAAACGCCUUUCGCUAGGGACGAAGCUUUUUGUGACGGUACCUAGAUAAGAAGCGCCGGCUAACUACGUG
rnacentral:rRNA from 1 species